rnacentral:misc_RNA from 1 species
UCCGAGUUCACCCCGGCAGUCUCCUACAAGUCCCCACCACCACGUGCUGGCAACAUAGGACAAGGGUUGCGCUCGUUGCGGGACUUAACCCAACAUCUCACGACACGAGCUGACGACAACCAUGCACCACCUGUACACCCCCACCUAAAUGACUUCCUAUCUCUAGGAAUAAAGGGUGUAUGUCAAGCCCUGGUAAGGUUCUUCGCGUCGCAUCGAAUUAAGCCGCAUGCUCCGCCGCUUGUGCGGGCCCCCGUCAAUUCCUUUGAGUUUUAGCCUUGCGGCCGUACUCCCCAGGCGGGGCGCUUAAAGCGUUAGCUACGGCACAGAAAACACAUGGUCCCCCACACCUAGCGCCCAACGUUUACAGCGUGGACUAC